ACCCUCCCAACCCUUUCCCAUCAGAUCUGAACACUGGUGUUGGUUGUUUUAAAAGAAGUAAUUCUGAAGCUGGUCCCCCACUGUUCAUCAGCUGCCAUGUAGCAUAGAGAAUAGAAUCAAAGAAGU
rnacentral:snoRNA from 1 species